rnacentral:lncRNA from 1 species
CGGGUGCUGCAGAUGUUGAUGAGCAUCUGUGGGACCGUGCUUGUGGUGUAGCACAGGUCCAGCAAGGACAGGGGCUAUUGCUCCUGUUGUUUGAAUCCAGUUUAAUUUCUUCCCAGAAUCAGUGAGAGUCUCUGUUCACUGGCAUUGGUGUCUAGGCUGUUUCCAUUUCCUGGCUCUUGUGACUAAAGCAGGAUUGAACACAGACAGGAGGAAGAUAAUGGAAAAGAAGGGAGAUGAAAAGGAAGAUCAAAGUGAAGAAGAUGGACAGGAUGAAAUGAUGGAAAAGAUGAAGUUGUGGCUGGGGCAGGGAGUUUGAUGUGAUUGUGUGUCUCCUAGUAAUAUCAGAAGAUACAACCAUAAAGUUUCACCAGCAUGACAGCCUAAACAUUAUCUGAGUAAGGACAGUAGCAACACACAUGCUAAUGUGGACAGGGAAAAGCCCAAGAGGCCUCAGUUAUACACAAAGAAUUACAGGCAACCAAGGAAUACUGAGAGCAGGAGAAAUAAUCUCCCCAGGGAAGAGCACAGUUGGUCAUCCAGGACCACG